UCCAGUUUAUCACUGGCAGUUUUUUUAGAGUAAUCACCUUUACAUCAGACAUAAAAAAUCUAAUGUACAUUUUGUUUUUUAAAACAAAACUAUGUUAUCAACUAAAAAUGAGGGUUGCGCUCGUUAUAGGACUUAACCUAACAUCUCACGACAGCGAGCUGACGACAGCCAUGCAGCACCUGUAUUAAAUGUAAGUCAUAAAAAUUAUUUCUAAUUUCUAUUUUUAAUAUGUCAAGAGCUGGUAAGGUUUUGCGCGUUGUUUCGAAUUAAACCACAUGCUCCACCGCUUGUGCAGGCCCCCGUCAAUUCCUUUAAGUUUCAACCUUGCGGUUAUACUUCCCAGACGGAGUGUUUAACGCGUUAGCUGUAACACUGAAAAUUUCCAAUAUUUAACACUCAU
rnacentral:misc_RNA from 1 species